UCCUCUCUUCUUUCCUUCACCCGGCAAAAUACUCUUUCUUCUCUAACCCUUCACUUUCUCACUCUAUAUCCAUCUUUAUACACUAAAUGUCUUUCACAAUUUAAGCUUGUUUUUAGAGUGAUUAAAGUGAGAUUUUAUGAAGCCAUAGGUGAGGAAGUUGAUGAGUUGAGGAGAGUUUUUAAUUGAGACCAAUCUUGCAAGGGGCUAGGAAUUUCAAAUUUGGGGGCUGUUUUGAAGAUCUUGCUUGGUUGAGGACACGAAAAGGAAGUGGCGAAAGACAUCCCCCACAGGCACUUAUCCCGAAAAUAAGCUAACUUAGCCAAAAUAAGAGCUUAAUUGAAGCAAUUCUGGGAUUAAACAAAGAAAGGAGCAAAGUGGAGAAAGAAGGAAGCAAAUGAAGCAAAAGGUGGCAAGCAGCAAAGUUCGAUCGAUCCAAGUUCAAGGUUCUAUCGAUCGAACAAUGAUCGAUCUCAGCACUUCAAGAUAGAUCCAAGCUUUGACCCAAAAGUAUAAAGUUCCAAAAGUUCGAUCGAUCCAACACCAUCAUUCGAUCGAUCGAACACUUUUGCCUUAUUCAAAUGAUUGAUACUAUCUACAGCUGUACCACCCACUAACCACUUUUGUCCUUUUCCCAUAAAUAUCUCUCAUAAAUAUCUCGGAUUUGUCUUUUUCCAAAAAGCUCAGCCAGUUGGAUCGAUCCAGCCUAAGUUUAAUCGAUCUUACUUACUUUCGAUCGAUUCAAGUUCAAGGUUCAAUCGAUCGAACUUCCUCCAGUGCGAAAAAGUUAAAAUUCCAUCUCAUUGAAAGUUGUCCUUUAUCCAAUCAUUAGGGAAUAUUGUGUGCACGACCCCAGCUCAUUUUGGGUGUCAUUUUGACCUACCUAUAUAAGGAUAAGGAUUGUUUUUACAAAAGGAAAAAAAAAAGCUAACAUUUAUUUUCAUAUCAUCUCUUGGAGAGAAAGUUUAGAGGGUGAGGAGGCUAGAGACACCAUUGGAGUUCUAUAUCAACAAGGAGCAGAUUUCAACCAUGGAAUUAGCCCUUGGGGGUUGGAGCAUCAUCACCAUGAGUGGCUAGACAUCUUCUUGGGGCUAGAGUUAGCCCCAAGCAUGCUUUCUAUAUCUUAAUCUUGUGUAUUAUUGAGGGAUUAGUGUUGUAAUUGAUGUUUUGAUACUUUGAUAUAU